AGUGAACGCUGGCGGUAGGCCUAACACAUGCAAGUCGAACGGCAGCACAGGAGAGCUUGCUCUCUGGGUGGCGAGUGGCGGACGGGUGAGGAAUGCAUCGGAAUCUACUCUUUCGUGGGGGAUAACGUAGGGAAACUUACGCUAAUACCGCAUACGACCUACGGGUGAAAGCCGGGGACCUUCGGGCCUGGCGCGAAUGAAUGAGCCGAUGCCCGAUUAGCUAGUUGGCGGGGUAAGAGCCCACCAAGGCGACGAUCGGUAGCUGGUCCGAGAGGAUGAUCAGCCACACUGGAACUGAGACACGGUCCAGACUCCUACGGGAGGCAGCAGUGGGGAAUAUUGGACAAUGGGCGCAAGCCUGAUCCAGCCAUACCGCGUGGGUGAAGAAGGCCUUCGGGUUGUAAAGCCCUUUUGUUGGGAAAGAAAAGCAGCUGGUUAAUACCCGGUUGUUCUGACGGUACCCAAAGAAUAAGCACCGGCUAACUUCGUG
rnacentral:rRNA from 1 species